rnacentral:rRNA from 1 species
GAUGAACGCUAGCGACAGGCCUAACACAUGCAAGUCGAGGGGCAUCGGGACGUAGCAAUACGUUGCCGGCGACCGGCGGAUGGGUGAGUAACGCGUAUGCAACCUACCCGUAGCAGGGGGAUAGCCCGUUGAAAGACGGAUUAAUACCCCGUAACACAGGGGCUCCGCAUGGAGAUUAUUGUUAAAGGGUCAUUUCUUUUAGAGGUGGUCCGGCUACGGAUGGGCAUGCGUUCCAUUAGGUAGUUGGUGUAGGUAACGGCUCACCAAGCCGACGAUGGAUAGGGGAACUGAGAGGUUGGUCCCCCACACUGGUACUGAGACACGGACCAGACUCCUACGGGAGGCAGCAGUGAGGAAUCUUGGUCAAUGGACGCAAGUCUGAACCAGCCAUGUCGCGUGAAGGAGGACGGCCCUAAGGGUUGUAAACUUCUUUUGCAGCGGAAUAAAGUUUGCCACGAGUUGGCGAUUUGCAAGUACGCUGCGAAUAAGGAUCGGCUAACUCCGUGCCAGCAGCCGCGGUAAUACGGAGGAUCCGGGCGUUAUCCGGAUUUAUUGGGUUUAAAGGGUGCGCAGGCGGGGAUUUAGGUCGGCGGUGAAAUUUCGGGGCUCAACCUCGAUAGUGCCGUUGAAACCGUUUCUCUUGAGUGCGGAUGAGGUAGGCGGAAUUUGUGGUGUAGCGGUGAAAUGCGUAGAUAUCACAAGGAACACCGAUUGCGGAGGCAGCUUACUAAACCGUUACUGACGCUCAUGCACGAAGGCGUGGGGAUCAAACAGG